UGUGGCCCUGCAGGGCAGCCCCCCAAGCCUGUCCUCACAGACGCAGCCGCACAGGCAUUGGCCUUGGCCGUGCCGCUCAGGUCUCCCUUGCACGAACAGCUUGCCAUGUGGCCAGGAGGGCUCCGCAGUUGCCGCUUGUAGCCACAGCAUCUGAGGGUCUGCUGCGGCAUCCAGGCCACAGCCAUGCUCUUCCCUGGCAGCCACCGGCCAAGCCCAGACAUAGGGGGCCGAGAAACUCCUGGGCUCCAGACACUUCCUCCCAACAGCUCUUUGUAACGGCUCAUCUCUGCCCUCGAGCUCCCCGCUGCAUCAGCCAGAACCCAGCCGGGUGACGCGUGGAGUCUGCCCAUCAUGUGCUCCGAUGGACUCUGCAUUCAAUUCCUCGCUUUCAGAAUCGACCGGGGAACCGUGACGGCCUGUGAGGGACAGAUAAGCCUCCAUCCACGGUUCCCUUCAGGGCCCAAAGCUUCAUUGCCAGUGGUGGUUCUGGCAAGGCCUGUAUCCAGACAGCAAGUGAAGGCACCAGGUUGACCAUCGAUGCUUUCUCCAUUGUACUCGUCUCCGGUCACUUCCAUUUGGCCUUCAUAGAUCUCGUCCAUGGCAGACCUACUGAGAAGCCCGUGGGCCUGCAGCAGGCCAGUACAGCACACUGCAGUCACAUGUGCUAGGCCAGCCUUCACACCAUGCUUUGGUAGUGGGUGUGCAUAAGCUGUGCACGGGCAUAAGCAGUCUGGCAAAUGCUCUGUUACAGGAGCUGUCAUCCUGUGUGUGGGUGUUGUACUUACUUUUAUCCUGGAUCACCAAGCGUUACCGAGCAUAGUCAUCACUUUUACCUGCUUGUUGUCUUCUAGAUGUCACUUGGUAUCUCUUAAAGUAGGCCUUAUUCUUGACAACUUUAACAAAUCCCAUCCUGUGGAAUAGAGACCCGCAGCCCCGCCCAACCUGCAGGCCCACAGCACUACAGGGGGAAAACGCUCCCCUUAAUCUUCCACACUAAA